UCUCCGUAGGUGAACCUGCGGAGGGAUCAUUACAGAGUUCAUGCCCUACCGGGUAGAUCUCCCACCCUAUGUUAUUAUUACUUUGUUGCUUCGGCGGGCCGUUAGGCUCCGGCCCGACUACCGGCCCCGGCUGGUAAGCGCCCGCCAGAGGACCCAAAACCCUGAAUAUUAGUGUCGUCUGAGUACUAUAUAAUAGUUAAAACUUUUAACAACGGAUCUCUUGGUUCUG
rnacentral:misc_RNA from 1 species